rnacentral:rRNA from 1 species
UACGGAGGGUGCAAACGUUGCUCGGAAUCAUUGGGCGUAAAGCGCACGUAGGCGGAUUCGUAAGUCGGAUGUGAAAGCCCUAGGCUCAACCAAGGAAGUGCAUUCGAAACUGCGAGUCUUGAGUACGGGAGAGGAUUGCGGAAUUCCCGGUGUAGAGGUGAAAUUCGUAGAUAUCGGGAGGAACAUCAGUGGCGAAGGCGGCAAUCUGGACCGAUACUGACGCUGAGGUGCGAAAGCGUGGGGAGCAAACAGG